UACGAAGGGGGGCUAGCGUUGCUCGGAAUCACUGGGCGUAAAGGGUGCGUAGGCGGGUUUUUAAGUCAGAGGUGAAAUCCUGGAGCUCAACUCCAGAACUGCCUUUGAUACUGAAAGUCUUGAGUAUGGGAGAGGUGAGUGGAACUGCGAGUGUAGAGGUGAAAUUCGUAGAUAUUCGCAAGAACACCAGUGGCGAAGGCGGCUUACUGGUCCGGUUCUGACGCUGAGGCGCGAAAGCGUGGGGAGCAAACAGG
rnacentral:rRNA from 1 species